ensembl:lncRNA
CUUCAGCCCAGUCUUGGUGGAAAUGGGCUGGAAAUUGGAUAGGUCUGGGAAAACUUCCAGGAGCGAUGUCUUGAUCCGCGCAAGUGUGGUCUGGCAUCCGUGAUAAAGACUCUGAAGCACAAAGGGGGCAAGUAAUCACCAGGAGGUGAAAGGCAGGAUUAAGAAUCAGCAAAUGAUGACUCCAGUGUCCCCCCACUUUUCUUGCUGUCAUGAAAUCUCCUCAGGGCCUGUAUAAGACCCUCAUCCUAGAUGCCCGGAGGUCAGUAUUCUGCUAGCAGCCUUCAGAUGAAGAUGUAGAACUCUCAGCUCCUCUUGCACCAUGCCUGCCUGGAUGCUGCUAUGUUCCUGCCUUGAUGAUGAUGGACUGAACCUCUGAGCCUGUAAGCAGCCCCAAUUAAACGUCCUUAUAAGAGUUGCCUUGGUCAUGGUGUCUGUUCACAGCAGUAAAACCCUCACUAAGACAAUGACUCUUAGUUCUUAGGCUAAAUGGAGAACUCUAAUAUAUUCUUCAUAAGACUUUCAUAAAGAUUAAAUGAGCUCACACAUCCUGG